UAGAAACAUCGGUUCUCGUGAGAUUACCAAAGUUAAGCAACCUCGAGCCUAGUCAGUACAUAGAUGGGUGACCGCUUGGGAAUACCAGAUGCUGCAAG